AGUGAAGAAUAAUUUAGCAAUUAGGCAAACCAAAAACAAAUGCACAUUCAAGAAAAACAUACAAAUGCAUAUGAUGUAUGCCUGCCUAUGGCUGAUGAGUCUCAUAUGUCGGUUAUAUAGCC